GAUGAACGCUGGCGGCGUGCCUAAUACAUGCAAGUCGAGCGAACAGAUAAGGAGCUUGCUCCUUUGACGUUAGCGGCGGACGGGUGAGUAACACGUGGGUAACCUACCUAUAAGACUGGGAUAACUUCGGGAAACCGGAGCUAAUACCGGAUAAUAUUUCGAACCGCAUGGUUCGAUAGUGAAAGACGGUUUUGCUAUCACUUAUAGAUGGACCCGCGCCGUAUUAGCUAGUUGGUAAGGUAACGGCUUACCAAGGCGACGAUACGUAGCCGACCUGAGAGGGUGAUCGCCCACACUGGAAGUGAGACACGGUCCAGACUCCUACGGGAGGCAGCAGUAGGGAAUCUUCCGCAAUGGGCGAAAGCCUGACGGAGCAACGCCGCGUGAGUGAUGAAGGUCUUCGGAUCGUAAAACUCUGUUAUUAGGGAAGAACAUACGUGUAAGUAACUGUGCACGUCUUGACGGUACCUAAUCAGAAAGCCACGGCUAACUACGUG
rnacentral:rRNA from 1 species